rnacentral:rRNA from 1 species
UCUGGUUGAUCCUGCCAGUAGUCAUACGCUUGUCUCAAAGAUUAAGCCAUGCAUGUCUAAGUAUAAAGGUAUUUACAAUGAAACUGCGAAUGGCUCAUUCAAACAGUUAUAGUUUAUUUGAUAUUCAAACUUAUAUUUAUAUUAGUUUAAAUGGAUAACCGUAGUAAUUCUAGAGCUAAUACAUGCGUUACGGGGAACUUUACGGAACCCCAGUAUUUAUUAGAUUUUAAACCAGCAUUCCGCAAGGUCUACUGAGAUGAUUCAUGAUAACUGAUCGAAUUGCUGGGUCUACCAGCAAUAAAUCAUUCAUGUUUCUGCUUCCCAUCAGCUUGAUGGUAGUGUAUUGGACAACCAUGGCAUUCACGGGCUAUCGGGGGAUUAGGGUUCGAUUCCGGAGAGGGAGCCUGAGAAACGGCUACCACUUCUACGGAAGGCAGCAGGCGCGAAAAUUAUCCAAUCCUGAUUCAGGGAGGUAGUGAAAGAAAUAAUGAACUAGGAUUUAUCCUGGGAUCACAAUGGGCUUGAUUUGCAAACUUUAUUAGCGAGGAACAAUUGGAGGGCAAGUCUGGUGCCAGCAGCCGCGGUAAUUCCAGCUCCAAUAGUGUAUAUUAAUGUUCCUGCAGUUAUUCGAUGCUCGUAGUUGGAUUUCUGGGGGCUGAUUCUGGACGGCGGCUAUGGCCGCCACCGGUUUCUUCCUUCAUCCACCUGUUAACGUUGUUCGAGAUUCAUUUCUCGGCUUCGGGCUCAGGUAUUUUACCCUUACUAUAUUCAUUUAUUUAUCUUCUUUUUGAGCAAAUUAUAGUGUUUCAGGCAGGCGUGCGCCGGAAUACUUUAGCAUGGAAUAAUCGAAUUGGACUGUGUUCCUUAUUUGUUGGUUUGAUGGGCACAGAAUGGUUAAUAGGGAUAGUAAUUUUCAGGGGAGGCAUUAGUAUUUAAUUUCCAGAGGUGAAAUUCUUUGAAAUAUUAAAGACUAACUUAUGCGAAAGCAUUUAUUUUGCCAAUAAUGUUUUCAUUAAUCAUUGAACGAAAGUUAGGGGAUCAAAGACGAUCAGAUACCGUCCUAGUCUUAACCAUAAACGUUGCCGACUAGGGAUCGGAGGGCGUGCACAUUCCGCCUUCGGCACCUUACGAGAAAUCAAAGUCUUUUGGGUUCUGGGGGUAGUAUGGUCGCAAGGCUGAAACUUAAAGGAAUUGACGGAAGGGCACCACCAGGAGUGGAGCUUGCGGCUCAAUUUGACUCAACACGGGAAAUCUUACCAGGUCCAGACAUAGCGAGGAUUGACAGAUUGAUAGCUCUUUCUUGAUUCUAUGGGUAUUUUUGGUGGUGCAUGGCCGUUCUUAGUUGGUGGAGUGAUUUGUCUGGUUAAUUCCGUUAAACGAACGAGACCUCAGCCUGCUAAAUAGAUACUUGUC